GAUGAACGCUGGCGGCGUGCCUAAUACAUGCAAGUCGAGCGAAUGGAUUAAGAGCUUGCUCUUAUGAAGUUAGCGGCGGACGGGUGGGUAACACGUGGGUAACCUGCCCAUAAGACUGGGAUAACUCCGGGAAACAGGGGCUAAUACCGGAUAAAAUUUUGAACCGCAUGGUUCGAAAUUGAAAGGCGGCUUCGGCUGUCACUUAUGGAUGGACCCGCGUCGCAUUAGCUAGUUGGUGAGGUAACGGCUCACCAAGGCAACGAUGCGUAGCCGACCUGAGAGGGUGAUCGGCCACACUGGGACUGAGACACGGCCCAGACUCCUACGGGAGGCAGCAGUAGGGAAUCUUCCGCAAUGGACGAAAGUCUGACGGAGCAACGCCGCGUGAGUGAUGAAGGCUUUCGGGUCGUAAAACUCUGUUGUUAGGGAAGAACAAGUGCUAGUUGAAUAAGCUGACACCUUGACGGUACCUAACCAGAAAGCCACGGCUAACUACGUGCCAGCAGCCGCGGUAA
rnacentral:rRNA from 1 species